rnacentral:lncRNA from 1 species
GUGAUGGUCAUAAUGGCCAGGAGAAUGAGGUGGUCCGUCUCCUCUGCCAUCGAAGUCCUCUCUCCUCUCCUGCGAGAUCCAGGGCCUCUUAGGCUACUGCCAGACAAUCCGCAGCGGCUUCUUCUGCUCCGACGGUGCAUGCGAAUGAGGUUGAGGAUAACGCUGAUGUUGCAGGCGAGCACAGCCACGAUAAGCAGCAGGAGCAUCGUGGCGUACAGCUGAAGGUAAUGAAGCUACUGUUGCUUGUCCAGGCCACACUUUCAGAAGUGUUGAUCUAGCAUGCCUGCCUGGGCCACUCCAUCGCCCUCCACUUCGUCUUUGGCUGUUGCUGUCCUGUGUGAACUCUUAAGUGAGGACUUAAAGUGCUCCCAGUGUCCUUCUGAGCUCUGCUUUGCUUUGGCUAGGCUAGCCCAGCUCACUGCAGCCCCAUGCAACAUCUCAUCCCCUCUACUAACAGCAGACUGAAGCUGUAAGAGGCAGGUGUGAACGCCACUGACAUCACCUUCCACAGAGACUACGUCCUGAGUGGGCCUCUUACUG